rnacentral:rRNA from 1 species
GGGUUGUGAGGUUAAGCGACUAAGCGUACACGGUGGAUGCCCUGGCAGUCAGAGGCGAUGAAGGACGUGCUAAUCUGCGAAAAGCGUCGGUAAGGUGAUAUGAACCGUUAUAACCGGCGAUGUCCGAAUGGGGAAACCCAGUGCAAUUCGUUGCACUAUCGUUAACUGAAUACAUAGGUUAACGAGGCGAACCGGGGGAACUGAAACAUCUAAGUACCCCGAGGAAAAGAAAUCAACCGAGAUUCCCCCAGUAGCGGCGAGCGAACGGGGAGCAGCCCAGAGUCUGAAUCAGCUUGUGUGUUAGUGGAACGGUCUGGAAAGUCCGACGGUACAGGGUGAUAGUCCCGUACACCAAAAUGCACAGGUUGUGAACUCGAAGAGUAGGGCGGGACACGUGGUAUCCUGUCUGAAUAUGGGGGGACCAUCCUCCAAGGCUAAAUACUCCUGACUGACCGAUAGUGAACCAGUACCGUGAGGGAAAGGCGAAAAGAACCCCGGCGAGGGGAGUGAAAAAGAACCUGAAACCGUGUACGUACAAGCAGUGGGAGCACCUUCGGGUGUGACUGCGUACCUUUUGUAUAAUGGGUCAGCGACUUAUAUUCUGUAGCAAGGUUAACCGUAUAGGGGAGCCGCAGGGAAACCGAGUCUUAACUGGGCGUUAAGUUGCAGGGUAUAGACCCGAAACCCGGUGAUCUAGCCAUGGGCAGGUUGAAGGUUGGGUAACACUAACUGGAGGACCGAACCGACUAAUGUUGAAAAAUUAGCGGAUGACUUGUGGCUGGGGGUGAAAGGCCAAUCAAACCGGGAGAUAGCUGGUUCUCCCCGAAAGCUAUUUAGGUAGCGCCUCGUGAAUUCAUCUUCGGGGGUAGAGCACUGUUUCGGCUAGGGGUCAUCCCGACUUACCAACCCGAUGCAAACUACGAAUACCGAAGAAUGUUAUCACGGGAGACACACGGCGGGUGCUAACGUCCGUCGUGAAGAGGGAAACAACCCAGACCGCCAGCUAAGGUCCCAAAGUCAUGGUUAAGUGGGAAACGAUGUGGGAAGGCACAGACAGCCAGGAUGUUGGCUUAGAAGCAGCCAUCAUUUAAAGAAAGCGUAAUAGCUCACUGGUCGAGUCGGCCUGCGCGGAAGAUGUAACGGGGCUAAACCAUGCACCGAAGCUGCGGCAGCGACACUAUGUGUUGUUGGGUAGGGGAGCGUUCUGUAAGCCUGCGAAGGUGUGCUGUGAGGCAUGCUGGAGGUAUCAGAAGUGCGAAUGCUGACAUAAGUAACGAUAAAGCGGGUGAAAAGCCCGCUCGCCGGAAGACCAAGGGUUCCUGUCCAACGUUAAUCGGGGCAGGGUGAGUCGACCCCUAAGGCGAGGCCGAAAGGCGUAGUCGAUGGGAAACAGGUUAAUAUUCCUGUACUUGGUGUUACUGCGAAGGGGGGACGGAGAAGGCUAUGUUAGCCGGGCGACGGUUGUCCCGGUUUAAGCAUGUAGGCUGGUUAUCCAGGCAAAUCCGGAUAAUCAAGGCUGAGGUGUGAUGACGAGGCACUACGGUGCUGAAGUAACAAAUGCCCUGCUUCCAGGAAAAGCCUCUAAGCAUCAGGUAACAUCAAAUCGUACCCCAAACCGACACAGGUGGUCAGGUAGAGAAUACCAAGGCGCUUGAGAGAACUCGGGUGAAGGAACUAGGCAAAAUGGUGCCGUAACUUCGGGAGAAGGCACGCUGGUGUGUAGGUGAAGUCCCUGCGGAUGGAGCUGAGACCAGUCGAAGAUACCAGCUGGCUGCAACUGUUUAUUAAAAACACAGCACUGUGCAAACACGAAAGUGGACGUAUACGGUGUGACGCCUGCCCGGUGCCGGAAGGUUAAUUGAUGGGGUUAUCCGUAAGGAGAAGCUCUUGAUCGAAGCCCCGGUAAACGGCGGCCGUAACUAUAACGGUCCUAAGGUAGCGAAAUUCCUUGUCGGGUAAGUUCCGACCUGCACGAAUGGCGUAAUGAUGGCCAGGCUGUCUCCACCCGAGACUCAGUGAAAUUGAACUCGCUGUGAAGAUGCAGUGUACCCGCGGCAAGACGGAAAGACCCCGUGAACCUUUACUAUAGCUUGACACUGAACAUUGAGCCUUGAUGUGUAGGAUAGGUGGGAGGCUUUGAAGCGUGGACGCCAGUCUGCGUGGAGCCAACCUUGAAAUACCACCCUUUAAUGUUUGAUGUUCUAACGUUGGCCCCUUACCGGGGUUGCGGACAGUGUCUGGUGGGUAGUUUGACUGGGGCGGUCUCCUCCCAAAGCGUAACGGAGGAGCACGAAGGUUAGCUAAUCCUGGUCGGACAUCAGGAGGUUAGUGCAAUGGCAUAAGCUAGCUUGACUGCGAGCGUGACGGCGCGAGCAGGUGCGAAAGCAGGUCAUAGUGAUCCGGUGGUUCUGAAUGGAAGGGCCAUCGCUCAACGGAUAAAAGGUACUCCGGGGAUAACAGGCUGAUACCGCCCAAGAGUUCAUAUCGACGGCGGUGUUUGGCACCUCGAUGUCGGCUCAUCACAUCCUGGGGCUGAAGUAGGUCCCAAGGGUAUGGCUGUUCGCCAUUUAAAGUGGUACGCGAGCUGGGUUUAGAACGUCGUGAGACAGUUCGGUCCCUAUCUGCCGUGGGCGCUGGAGAAUUGAGGGGGGCUGCUCCUAGUACGAGAGGACCGGAGUGGACGCAUCACUGGUGUUCGGGUUGUCAUGCCAAUGGCACUGCCCGGUAGCUAAAUGCGGAAGAGAUAAGUGCUGAAAGCAUCUAAGCACGAAACUUGCCCCGAGAUGAGUUCUCCCUGAGACUUUAAGUCUCCUGAAGGAACGUUGAAGACGACGACGUUGAUAGGCCGGGUGUGUAAGCGCAGCGAUGCGUUGAGCUAACCGGUACUAAUGAACCGUGAGGCUUAACCUUACAACGCCGAAG